ensembl:snRNA U6 U6 spliceosomal RNA
GUGCUUGCUUCACCAGCACAUAUAUUAAAAUUGGAAUACAGAGCAGAUUAGCAUGGCCCCUGUGCAAGGAUCACACACAAAUUUGUGAAGCGUUCCAUGUUUUU